GAUGAAGAACGUAGCGAAAUGCGAUAAGUAAUGUGAAUUGCAGAAUUCAGUGAAUCAUCGAAUCUUUGAACGCACAUUGCGCCCGCCAGUAUUCUGGCGGGCAUGCCUGUCCGAGCGUCAUUUCAACCAUCAAGCCCCGGGCUUGUGUUGGGGACCUGCGUCCGACGCAGGCCCUGAAAACCAGUGGCGGGCUCGCUGUCCACACCGAGCGUAGUAACUAACCUCGCUAUGGAGUGGCGCGGGCGCCUGCCGUAAAACCCCCGAUUUCACAAGGUUGACCUCGGAUCAGGUAGGAAUACCCGCUGAACUUAAGCAUAUCAAUAAGCGGAGGA
rnacentral:misc_RNA from 1 species